rnacentral:tRNA from 2 species
AAGGUGUUAGUAAAAUAAUUACAUAACUUUGUCAUAGUUAAAGUAUAGACUUGACUCUAUGCACCUUA